GGUUGCGCCUACAUUCUCCACCACAGCCAGCCCAGGGCGGAGAGGAGGGCCAGGGGCCCUGGGGGCCUCGGGGCUGAGUUCUCCAGGGAUCCUGGGCACAGGAGCCGCAUGGAGGCGCUGGACGCUCCCAGCCGGUUGGCGGCGCAACACGUAUAGUUGCCGUAAUGCCGGGCGCUCAUGUUGGCAAAGAGAAGCAUCGAGCGAGUGCGCUCCAUCUGCACCUUCAGGCCCUCGGCCGUGCCGCUGCUCAGUAGUCUGUCAUCCUUAUACCACUGGAAAUCCGCGGGGGAAACCGCCAUGGCUUCGCAGCGCAGUAGGCGGCCCGGCCCAGCGCGGUGCGGGCGCUGGUCACGUCCGUGAUGGUCGGAGGAUAGUUGACUGUGACCAGCACGCGGCGGCUGUCGGGCGCCGAGUUAACCCCGUUGUGAGUCACGCACUCAUACUCCCCGGCCUGGCCCCGCAGGAUGUCAGAGAUCUCCAGGAUCUCUCCCUCCGAGGUGAAGCCGUCUCGGAGCUGUCUCCAGGUGACCGUGGGCUCUGGCCGCCCCACGGCCAGGCAAAGCAGGUUCACAUUACCUCCCUCAUUCACCAUCACAGGCGACGAGAUGUUCACAACGCGGGCAGGGACGUGGACAAUGAGAAUGCUGCCAUCUCCAUGAAAAAAGCCCAUGUUCGCCAGCUGGAGGAUAAGAUACAACAGGGAGGAGAAGCAAGGUGCCCCUUGUUGACAAUCCCAGAAGCAGAAGCUCAUGCCCAGAAGCACAGCUGCCUAGUUGACAGGCUCAGCUGAGACCAGAAGAAUGGCCCCACCAAGCCCAGCCUAAAUGGCUGACCAUCACAAUUAUGAGCUAAGAAGUUUUGGAUGGUUUGUUAUGCUGUAAGAGCUAACUAAUACGUGCACCCAGUGCAGAUAGGAUGCCAAAAAUUAAUGGCAAGUUGAUUACUAAUUACGUUCUAACAGUGGGCACCCUAAAA
rnacentral:lncRNA from 1 species